AGUGAACGCUGGCGGUAGGCCUAACACAUGCAAGUCGAACGGCAGCACAGUAAGAGCUUGCUCUUACGGGUGGCGAGUGGCGGACGGGUGAGGAAUACAUCGGAAUCUACUUUUUCGUGGGGGAUAACGUAGGGAAACUUACGCUAAUACCGCAUACGACCUACGGGUGAAAGCAGGGGAUCUUCGGACCUUGCGCGAUUGAAUGAGCCGAUGUCGGAUUAGCUAGUUGGCGGGGUAAAGGCCCACCAAGGCGACGAUCCGUAGCUGGUCUGAGAGGAUGAUCAGCCACACUGGAACUGAGACACGGUCCAGACUCCUACGGGAGGCAGCAGUGGGGAAUAUUGGACAAUGGGCGCAAGCCUGAUCCAGCCAUACCGCGGGGGUGAAGAAGGCCUUCGGGUUGUAAAGCCCUUUUGUUGGGAAAGAAAAGCAGCAGGUUAAUACCCCGCUGUUCUGACGGUACCAAAAGAAUAAGCACCGGCUAACUUCGU
rnacentral:rRNA from 1 species